rnacentral:rRNA from 1 species
ACCGGCAGACCUCCCACCCUGAACACGCCCUGUGUCAUGUGAUCUUGGAAGCUAAGCAAGGCCGGGCCUGGUUAUUACUUGGAUGGGAGAAAAGAGACAACCACAGGCACUGGCAGUG